CCGCUUUCUCUCUCUUAGCUCUCUCUCUUAGGGUAUUCUUUUUCUCAGGCCUGUGUUGUACACUGGGCAGGUGGGGACUGGAACCUGACUACAGGAGUUCCUAACAAUCAGGAAUAUGCACAGAGUGUACCCGUGAGUAUCUGGCUACCACUACUCUCCUCUCCUCAGCAGUGAGGCUGCUUGAUCAUCUCAUGUGGAACUCCAUGUUCCCUGGACUGGGGAUGUAAGGAAGCUCCUGGCCUGUACUCAGCAUGUCCUGUUACUAGGAAAACUUCUACCCCUCCUGCAACUGUGAAUCCAGGCCUCCAACUUCCAAGAAGAGUAGAGAACCAGCAGAUGAAUAAGAUCUUCGGGUCACUUCAACUAUGGAAGAAUAGCCGGACAGCUGUGGGACAAAAAUGUCAGGAUUUGGUUUCAUCUUACAUUGAGUUUCAGGUAUAACGCUCACCUUUUUCAUGGGGUCCACCCUGGAUCAGUCCUUCUCCCACUA
rnacentral:lncRNA from 1 species